rnacentral:lncRNA from 1 species
CCCCCUGGAGGAGGACAGUACUCGCAUGAACAAAUGAGUACCCAGCAGUGUCUCAGAGGAACCACAGGAGCUACUGUGGGCUGCUGGUGCUCUGCAAACAGGCAACCUGCUCAGAGAGGGUCUCGAGGCCCCAGUGCCAGAGCAAAGUCCAUAAUCAACUAGACUGAGUGAUGUGUUUGGGAGGCUGAGACUGAUCCACGUGGUGAUUCCGGUUCCCUGGGCGCCCUGCCCUGUGAUAAAGCCUGGACGUCGGACAGCCCGGCCAAGAGCUAACGUACCUGUUUGAACUAGUCUUGUGCCAAUGGAAACACGUCAGAAAAAGGAAAACAGUUAGCCAACUGUCUAAUGCAGAUGGGUUCUCUUCAGCCCAAUGAAGAACGAUCACCUAUACACAGCUGCAGGAGCACGUUAAAUGGUAAUAGGCUGUUCAGCUGUGCCAAAGCUCCAGGGCUCCAGGAUGGAGUCAGCACCAUUUCAGGGAACUGGGAUUCCUGACGGGGGAUGCAGCAGGAGCUCCACAAUUAUUCUACCCCUGCU